ACGAGAGCCACCGGGCUCUGGGCUGCGGAGGAGGUUGGAGGUGACCUUCCAGAAGGAACGUGGGACAAGGGAGCAAGUGAGGACCUGGUGGGUAGUGGUUACUCUGUGAGAAGCCAGCAGCACCAACCAAAUAGAAGGUGGAGAAGUGGCCCCCAGCUUCCCAGUUUGGGUUUGGGCCAAGACAACUAAGAAAAGGGUCCACCGUCUUCACUCCAGGUCAGAUGACCCUGCAUUGUAUCAAGUAGAAAAAUGUCUAACCAAGACAGAGGAGAAUACGAACCCUCUCAGCUCAUAGAUGCAAGAAGAGAGAGGGGUUUGCUGGAAAUCGUGGCUGACCACCUCAGAAGGACCCAGAAGACCCGAACUUUCUGGUUUUGCCUUUCACCUUGCUCUGAAACUUCUCCCAACACUGGAAGACAAGAAAGUUCCGCCCUACCUCCGCCCCACCUCCGCCCCCCGGACCAGGGAGAUUCUUCUCUUUGGGCAAGCAGGCUUGCUGGGCAAUCGUGAGCUGCUGAGUUCCCAUCCCCAUAGAAAGCUGGACAUGGACAUGCAUGCCUGUUUCUGCAGCAUGCUCAACUCCAGGAGCUCUCUGGUCUCCUAUAAAUAAAGGAUAACACAUUCGGCCUUCUUACCAUUUCAAAA
rnacentral:lncRNA from 1 species